rnacentral:sRNA from 1 species
UAUCUCUCCGUACGGGGAAGGAUGAGAAGCUUCGACUAAGGUUCGAUUCGAGCGCAGCGAGAAAGCGUUGCCGUAGGCAACGACCCGAAGGGCGAAGCGCGCAGCGCUGAGUCA